GUAUGCGAUCAUACCGGAACUAAAGCACCGGAUCCCAUCAAAACUACGAAGUUAAGCGUGCUUGGGCAAGAGUAGUACUAGGAUGGGUGACUAGGGGGUUCUCGUGUUGCAUUCC
rnacentral:rRNA from 1 species